CCUACGGGAGACAGCAGUGGGGAAUAUUGGGCAAUGGGCGCAAGCCUGACCCAGCAACGCCGCGUGAAGGAAGAAGGCUUGCGGGUUGUAAACUUCUUUUCUCAGGGACGAAGCAAGUGACGGUACCGGAGGAAUAAGCCACGGCUAACUACGUGCCAGCAGCCGCGGUAAUACGUAGGUGGCAAGCGUUAUCCGGAUUUACGGGGUGUAAAGGGCGUGUAGGCGGGACUGCAAGUCAGAUGUGAAAACCACGGGCUCAACCUGUGGCCUGCCUUUGAAACGGUAGUUCUUGCGUACUGGAUAGGCAGCCGGACUUCCUCGUGUAGCGGUGAACUUCGUCGCUCUUAGGAG
rnacentral:rRNA from 1 species